rnacentral:rRNA from 2 species
UCUGGUAAUGAUGGCAGAGAGGUCACACCCGUUCCCAUACCGAACACGGAAGUUAAGCUCUCUAGCGCCGAUGGUAGUUGGGACCUUGUCCCUGUGA